CUUAAGCUUAAACUGGAAGCUCUUAUGUAAAGUUGCGUUCUUAAGUUUGAUUCAAAGUAAAAGAUAAACUUAUUUAGAAAAUAACUUUUUUGCUCUUCAUUAAACUUCUUUUAUCAGAGAGAUUUCAGCACACAGGACUGAUAAAGCUCCAGUGUAUCAUAUCUGUAAAGUCAUGUGACUCGUCACACCAUCAGAAUAGACAAGAAUUCACUGUGAGCUUCACACCUCAUUACAGCUAAUGGACCAAUCAAAUCAGUCCACAGCUUCAAAACAUCCAAUCAGGUGUGAGUCUGGACCUGGUUUUGUACUGAACACACAAGUUCAUUAGAUCACUUGGUGUGAACAGGAACGAUGAUCAGACUCUUUGUCGCUCUUUGUGCUCUUUUUUCUCUCUUCACAGCUGUGAAAACUUCUGACAUCAAGGAGAUUGACGUGAUAACAGUAAAGAAUGGAGAAGAUGUAACUAUGAAGUGUAGCAUUAGCAGUGACACAAAGAAAGAGAAUGUAGUUUGGUACAGACAGAUUUCAGGAAAAUUACCUCAGCAUUUUGCAAAACCAUACACGAACGAAUUGGGCUACAGAUUUAGUGAAGGAUUUAAUGAUGCUCGUUUCAGUAUUAGUGUAAAUGACAAUACAUUUGAUCUCAAUAUUAAAAAAACAAGAGAAGAUGAUGAAGGAGAAUAUUUCUGUGGAGAAAUGGAAGGAAGUGCAGUGACGUUCACAUCUGGAACACGUCUGCAAUUUAAAGAUAAAGAGACGACACACUGUCCAACACUUGGAACACCCAUGUGCAAUGAAAUGAGUAAGA